rnacentral:rRNA from 1 species
UACAUGGGGUGCAAACGUUGCUCGGAAUUAUUGGGCGUAAAGCGCGCGUAGGCGGUUACUCAAGUCGGAUGUGAAAGCCCUCGGCUUAACUGAGGAAGUGCACCCGAAACUGAGUAGCUAGAGUACUAAAGAGGGUCGCGGAAUUCCCGGUGUAGAGGUGAAAUUCGUAGAUAUCGGGAGGAACACCGGUGGCGAAGGCGGCGACCUGGGUGGAUACUGACGCUGAGGCGCGAAAGCGUGGGGAGCGAACAGG